AUACAUUCCAUCUCGAUCUAACACAUCACCGUUCGGUAUAACUUAACCAUACCUCUAGUGUCAAAGAAAUAUACGGUACUUGAAGAAAAAUGUUGUUAUACUUGAUUUUGGCACUGUUUGCAAACAUUAAUUUUGUGUCCGCAUCAAAUGGAUUUGAUUUUGGCGACACGUUAGCUCUUAUUUUGGGGCUAUUCAUCAGUAUAAUGGGAUUUUUCGCCUGUAUGGGUGCUUAUGCACGUAAAAAAAGUCUUGACACUCUUUAGAUCUACUCAAGAUGAAAAUACGUAAUUAUUUGGAUCUCGAGAUGUGCUAAUUAAAUUAACCUGGAUCAAAUAAUGCGAUGUCGGGAAAAUGAUAUACAAAAAUUUCUUGAACGCGGCUAUUUUGCCAUAAUUUGGGAUACCUUAUCCUGAAACUUUGUAAACUGAUUACGUGUACGUUUCAUGAAUGUUUAUUGGCAGAAAAAUUAUCGAAAGUAUGAAUCAAUUAAGUUCUGAGAAUUUUUGUUAGCAAGUUUUAUAAAAUUUUGUAUACUGUAAGAUUCUAACAUUUCUUACUGAUUUUGCAUCAGCCCAAUUUAACUACCACAAUACGAAUAAGGUACGAGAUAUGAAGAUAAAUAACACAAAAGAAAUGUGUAAAUACAUAUUGCUUAAAGAAACGAAAAUGAAACUUUGUAUAUUGUGAAGAAAAGAAAUAAAUAUUAAUCUAAAUAUAUACAUGUAUGAUAAAAAGACAUUUUUCAAUAUUUUCUCUAGUGUUAUCUGAAGAUUUGUUUAUUCAAUUAUUACUUACGCCACAGUUAUAACUGAUUCGAGUUCACAUUUUUUUAGCUGAGAUACUUUUUAUUAUAGCAUUCUUGCAAAAGCACACCUGUUACAACAGUACAAUGUUAUAAUGUAACUCGAGCCCUUGUUUAGAUUCAUUUUACGAUAAUUCACAGUCUAGACUUGUAAUCUGUGGUAGUAGACUGGGCAUAAAGAAAAGAUACGAGAAGCACUUCAUAGUAAACAAGAAACAUGAUUUGAGAAACUGACUUCACUGCAUGUUCACAAACAAGUUAUCUGAACC